AAAUUGAAGAGUUUGAUCAUGGCUCAGAUUGAACGCUGGCGGCAGGCCUAACACAUGCAAGUCGAACGGUAACAGGAAGCAGCUUGCUGCUUYGCUGACGAGUGGCGGACGGGUGAGUAAUGUCUGGGAAACUGCCUGAUGGAGGGGGAUAACUACUGGAAACGGUGGCUAAUACCGCAUAACGUCGCAAGACCAAAGAGGGGGACCUUCGGGCCUCUUGCCAUCAGAUGUGCCCAGAUGGGAUUAGCUKGUUGGUGAGGUAACGGCUCACCAAGGCGACGAUCCCUAGCUGGUCUGAGAGGAUGACCAGCCACACUGGAACUGAGACACGGUCCAGACUCCUACGGGAGGCAGCAGUGGGGAAUAUUGCACAAUGGGCGCAAGCCUGAUGCAGCCAUGCCGCGUGUAUGAAGAAGGCCUUCGGGUUGUAAAGUACUUUCAGCGGGGAGGAAGGUGUUGUGGUUAAUAACCRCAGCAAUUGACGUUACCCGCAGAAGAAGCACCGGCUAACUCCGUGCCAGCAGCCGCGGUAAUACGGAGGGUGCAAGCGUUAAUCGGAAUUACUGGGCGUAAAGCGCACGCAGGCGGUCUGUCAAGUCGGAUGUGAAAUCCCCGGGCUCAACCUGGGAACUGCAUUCGAAACUGGCAGGCUUGAGUCUUGUAGAGGGGGGUAGAAUUCCAGGUGUAGCGGUGAAAUGCGUAGAGAUCUGGAGGAAUACCGGUGGCGAAGGCGGCCCCCUGGACAAAGACUGACGCUCAGGUGCGAAAGCGUGGGGAGCAAACAGGAUUAGAUACCCUGGUAGUCCACGCCGUAAACGAUGUCUACUUGGAGGUUGUGCCCUUGAGGCGUGGCUUCCGGAGCUAACGCGUUAAGUAGACCGCCUGGGGAGUACGGCCGCAAGGUUAAAACUCAAAUGAAUUGACGGGGGCCCGCACAAGCGGUGGAGCAUGUGGUUUAAUUCGAUGCAACGCGAAGAACCUUACCUGGUCUUGACAUCCACRGAASUUUYCAGAGAUGGAYUKGUGCCUUCGGGAACYGUGAGACAGGUGCUGCAUGGCUGUCGUCAGCUCGUGUUGUGAAAUGUUGGGUUAAGUCCCGCAACGAGCGCAACCCUUAUCCUUUGUUGCCAGCG
rnacentral:rRNA from 1 species